rnacentral:rRNA from 1 species
GACGAACGCUGGCGGCGCGCCUAACACAUGCAAGUCGAACGAGCGAGAGAGAGCUUGCUUUCUCGAGCGAGUGGCGAACGGGUGAGUAACGCGUGAGGAACCUGCCUCAAAGAGGGGGACAACAGUUGGAAACGACUGCUAAUACCGCAUAAGCCCACGGUGCCGCAUGGCACAGAGGGAAAAGGAGCAAUCCGCUUUGAGAUGGCCUCGCGUCCGAUUAGCUAGUUGGUGAGGUAACGGCCCACCAAGGCGACGAUCGGUAGCCGGACUGAGAGGUUGAACGGCCACAUUGGGACUGAGACACGGCCCAGACUCCUACGGGAGGCAGCAGUGGGGAAUAUUGCACAAUGGGGGAAACCCUGAUGCAGCGACGCCGCGUGGAGGAAGAAGGUCUUCGGAUUGUAAACUCCUGUUGUUGGGGAAGAUAAUGACGGUACCCAACAAGGAAGUGACGGCUAACUACGUGCCAGCAGCCGCGGUAAAACGUAGGUCACAAGCGUUGUCCGGAAUUACUGGGUGUAAAGGGAGCGCAGGCGGGAAGACAAGUUGGAAGUGAAAUCUAUGGGCUCAACCCAUAAACUGCUUUCAAAACUGUUUUUCUUGAGUAGUGCAGAGGUAGGCGGAAUUCCCGGUGUAGCGGUGGAAUGCGUAGAUAUCGGGAGGAACACCAGUGGCGAAGGCGGCCUACUGGGCACCAACUGACGCUGAGGCUCGAAAGUGUGGGUAGCAAACAGGAUUAGAUACCCUGGUAGUCCACACCGUAA